rnacentral:lncRNA from 1 species
CGAGGUGAUCCAGAAGGAAGCAUUGCCGGCACCUCGGCAGAUUACUUUUGAAGCCAAUCCUGGUAAACUUCAAGACAUGAUUGACAAUGCUAUUAACCGUGCCUGUAACACCCGAAAUUUGAUUUUCAAAUAAUAGGAUUUAAUUUGAUUUAUUUGAAUAUUUUGUGAGCAUUUAAAUUAGUAAAGAAAUAAAUUUUAUUGAAAUUAAAAAUUCAACAUAGAGUUAGAAACAUGUUGGUGCAUUUCAUACUGGAGCAUAUUUAAUUCUGUAUGGUUGCCUUUUUGGUUUGAAUUUAUUUGAUUCAAAUUUCAUUUGGCAAAUGCUUUAGAAAAAAAAAGAAUAAAAGAAAAACAAAAACCAGCCAGCCCAGUCCCCUGGCCUUUUCCGGCCUGAUGGCCUGCUGGCCUGGCCCCUUUCUCCCCCACGCGAGGCCCAACCUCCACCUCCCCUCACUCGGCCCACUCCCACUCCCGGCCCAGCGCGCGCGCUCUCCCCCUCUCAGUCCCUGGCGCUUGGUCCCUGUCCCCCCUCUGUCGCUGAGCUCCGGGGCCCGCUCGUCAGCGUGCUUCCCCGUCUCCCUCGCAGAGACCGAGUCGGUCACGAGCAUGGCCCAGCGAAUCCCGAACCCCGGGAUUUCCUUGCCAAGGGGGCGAAUCGAGUCCUAUAAAGCCCUAGGAGCCUUCCCCCGCACCCCUUUUUCCCUACCCGAGCGUCAUUUCAUGCCCUAGUCGUCGCUUUCUGCAUGUUCAGAUCUCGCCGAGACCGAAACCAAGCCGCCACCGC